GUGACCCACGAUAAAUGGAUCAUAAAGUUUUUAAAAAAGAAUAGAUACCAUUGCAUUUGCAUUUAAUAACAGAUGCGAUCAUACCAGCACUAAUGCACCGGAUCCCAUUAGAACUCCGCAGUUAAGCAUGCUUCGGCGAGAGUAGUACUAGGAUGGGUGACCUCCCGGAAUGUCCUCGUGUUGCAUCCCUC
rnacentral:rRNA from 1 species